CUUUUACCUGCUUUAUUCAAUAAACUUUACAUUGGAUACACUGGUUAAGUUUUAUGUGAUGAGACAGAACAACAGGUCUGAUAACCACAAUUUCAAAACGUAAGAUCGAUUGAAGUCCACGUUCUGUCAGGUAAUUUUGUUGGUGUUAUUCAUUAUUUUAUUUUUUUUAAUAUUCCAUACAUGUAAAUCAUAUCUUGGGUUCUGAAAAUUAUUUAGCAUAAUUAUAUUUAUUUCUUGUCUCUGUUAUUGCAAUAAUUGUGCUUAAACUCACCUAAAUGAUGUAUUCACGUAUCGUCUAUAUUAAACUAGCAAAAACUGCUUUCCACUUACGUGCACACGUAUUUAUAAUUUAAAAUGAUUGGUUACAUAUGGGUUACUUAUUACCAGCAUUGUAUUUUUUUUUUCAAUUUCACUACCAUAUUUAGACAGAUUUAUAUAAUUAUGACAAUUCCAAUCAAAGUGUAUAUGCACAUGUUGUUUUAACUAAAAUCGAGGGUAUAGUGUUUGUAAAGUGCAUGUCCCCUAAUAGACGUGUCCACAGCGUUAUCAAUAUUUAACAAUAAUUCCUCGUUUGAUACUCAUGAUAGCCCGGUUUUGAAACCUGUAAACACACGACGACAUUCCGUGUCUUCCGUCGCCAUGGACACAGUAUACAUGAGUAGCUUACCCCUUCAUAUCGAAUCUGCCGACACCACACCAAAUUCCCCCUCAAAAAUCAUGCAUAAACUCGUCUAUCUAAUAAAUGGUCCUAUGUAUUUCCUUUUUUAAAUGUAAUUGGGCAAUUAAAAUUGAUAAAGCAAACUAUAAUUGAAUCCGAAGAGUGAUUUUUUUUUUUCACUCUGGGUUAGAAAAUCCAACAUCGAAGAUGUCACAACGACUAACGCAGGCGCAUACAGGUAAAUAUUUGUGUUUCUUUUUACAAGGUAUCACUGAACUACACAUACUUGUAAAAUGUUACAUAAAAUCAUGAUUUAGUGGGAAAAGAACAAGGAGUAAAUUGUUCACAUUCAUGUAAAAUCUGCUUCUUUAAAAAACUUAAGGUAGAGACCGAUAGCAACCACGUGAUCAGUAAAAAUCGUGUAUUUUCACGUGAAAUUAUUUUUCGGAAUUCCGUACAUCGCCAUAGAGAACAAAAAGGGGUUCCGAAAGUAUAAGUUGUUGCUGUGACUGAAUCGAUGAUUGAGAGGGUCGUCUCGACGAAAGAUAUAGAAAUUUGGCCAUAGUUUAGAUUAGGAAUACAUCAAUGUAAUGAUAGUGGACUAAAUGUUUCGUCCGUGCAGAAUGGCACUUUUUACCUCACGAAAUUCACCACCAUGCAUAGCUGCGCUACGUAAACAAAGUUGUUGAUGUAGCGUGAUCGUGAUGUCCGAGUGCUGCGAGUUUCAAUACUGUUUAUGUAGUCAUUGAGAGUUUAAACAAAGUUUCUUCUGAGAAGAGGAAUUCGAUGGAUACAUUCAACGUGGACAACGAAAUCAUAAUUUCGUUUGGUAAGUGAAAAAAAAAUGGCAAAUUGAAUUUGUAUUCAACCCACUUAUCCUCUGCUAUUUCACAACCCGAUUUUAUAAUAACAUAGAUCUAUAAACGCACAAUUUGGAGCUGUUUCAUUUUUUGUGCAUUUAUGUAUUCCAUAUGUGCCCAAAAUAUAACUCCUACAUGUGCAUGUAAUUGUAAAUGGAUGUCAUGUGUAUGCCAGAUUUGAAAAAAAAAUAGGGCUCUCAUAAGUUUGAGGGGAGAGGGUGUUGCACUAAAAUUAUAUUUGGUAUAAAUGAUAGUACUUACAGUAUCUUGAAAUUUCAUUGACCUAAGAGAUAUUUCAAAUCUGGUGUUUCAUGUUUCAUGCAAGCAUGUAGGUCUACAAAACUUUAUUUAAAAUAUUUGUAAAAUCACCCCCCCCCCCCUCAUAGGCAAAUAAAUGUAUUGCAUGAGAAUAAGAUAUGUAUGUCCUUCUCUUGACCCACACUCCGUAAAGGAAACAAGUCUGAUAAAUCUAGAGUUGACUUGUUUUGAUAUUAUUAGAAUGAACUGGCAGUUUAUGAAAACAUAUCUGUCAUCUCAUAUUGUAAUGAUAAGUAUGAUGUUUAUUCAUCUCAUUAAGGACCCGGGGGUGGGGGUAUGUACAGUUUAAAAAGAAGGUAACUAUAACAAUAUGAAAUAAAUAACAAUCAUGCAGAUGUACUACUACUGCAAAUGUUCACAUUGCUGCACUGCACACAUUUAACAUACAUGUAGUGUUACAUAUGUAAUACUGAUUUCAGACAAGAUUUUAAAAAUUAACAUAAUAAAAUACAUGUUAUGUGUGUAAUUUUCAAUAUAUCAGCAUUUUAAAGUUCACUAAACAUGCAUUGAGACACACAAUUUUAAAAUUGACAUUGUCUGACACAGUAUAAUUAAUGAUUAAUACUGACUGUGCAAAUAUUAAUUAUGAUGAUUUUUUUCUAAGCAUCAUCCUAAGGACCAGUGCAAGUUGAAAUGGUCUUCCAGCCAACAACUUCAACAGCAAUUUGCCAUGAAAAUCAGCACGAAAGGUACUUCAUUUACAUUGAUGAUGUCAUAUCCCCUGGACCCCACAACUUUACAGGUUACAGAGAAAAUUCAAGAACUUCUGCACAAUGUGAGACUCGAAUAUAAUCAAUAAUGUAUUUGUGAUCCAAUAUAUAUUGUGCAACAUACUAAAGUGUGAAUUUAAUGGAAAGCAAGUACAUGUACUCAUGUAUUACAUGUCUUUUUUAAAGACAAUAAUAUUGUAUAAAUAUAGAGGAAGUGUCAUUGUUGAUUAUUCUAAGUUUUUGAUAUACCAAAAUCAGUAAACAUUUGUAAAUGAAAAUAAAAUACCAAUUUUAUAACUUUAA